UACAGAGGGUGCGAGCGUUAAUCGGAAUUACUGGGCGUAAAGGGCGUGUAGGUGGUUGCGUAAGUCUGGCGUGAAAUAUCUCGGCUUAACCGAGGCAGGUCGUCGGAUACUGCGUAACUGGAGGACGGUAGAGGCGUGUGGAAUUCCGGGUGUAGUGGUGAAAUGCGUAGAGAUCCGGAGGAACACCAGUGGCGAAGGCGACACGCUGGGCCGUACCUGACACUGAUGCGCGACAGCAUGGGGAGCAAACAGG
rnacentral:rRNA from 1 species